UAGUCCACGCCGUAAACGAUGAGAACUAGAUGUCGGGAGGGUUGCCUUUCGGUGUCGCAGCUAACGCGUUAAGUUCUCCGCCUGGGGAGUACGCCGGCAACGGUAAAACUCAAAGGAAUUGACGGGGACCCGCACAAGCGGUGGAGCAUGUGGUUUAAUUCGAUGCAACGCGAAGAACCUUACCUGCCCUUGACAUACUCAGAAGCCAAAAGAGAUUUUGGUGUGCCUUCGGGAACUGUGAGACAGGUGCUGCAUGGCUGUCGUCAGCUCGUGUUGUGAAAUGUUGGGUUAAGUCCCGCAACGAGCGCAACCCUUGUCUUUAGUUGCCAUCAUUAAGUUGGGCACUUUAAAGAGACUGCCGGUGACAAACCGGAGGAAGGUAAGGAUGACGUCAAGUCAGCAUGCCCCUUAUGCUCUGGGCUACACACGUGCUACAAUGGCCGUGACAAGAGUUGCUACUUUGUGAAACAGCUAAUCUCAUAAACGCGGCCUCAGUUCGGAUUGCAGG
rnacentral:rRNA from 1 species